rnacentral:sRNA from 1 species
GUGCUAGUGACCUAAAACGGUAUAUAUGGGGUCAGUAAAUUCAAUUCCAUAUGGAAUUUACUGACAUCAUAUAUACCGUAUUUCGUCACUAGCAUACUA